rnacentral:lncRNA from 1 species
UCCACCUCACCCAAUUUUUUUUAUAUUUGAAAUUAAAAGUUUAGGAGGUAUUAAGCACAAAUUCACAGAAAAAAAUUUCGAAUUUCCAAAUUAUAUAUUUUUUUUAUGCUUGUUAAAGUCGGCCAAACGAUUUUUGGCCGAGCGCGAGGGGAGCCUGGGUUGAUGACGUAGAGGGAGUAAGUCGACCUUCGCUGAAUACAAAGUUUACUUGACAAGUGUCCCAGAUAUAAUAUUACAAAUCUUUAUUUUCUAAAAUCUUAACGUGGGACUAUCCAACCUCUGAAGGCAAAUCUAUUGCUAGUAAAGAUUCUUUUGACGAUUUGAACGAUAUUUUUUACGUCUGGGCUAUAAAAAUGGUCGCCAAAGUGAUUUGACACGAACCGAAGUGUUGAGUUAUUUACGGCCCGAGAUUUGACUUUUACUUGGACUUUGUACGAGUGGAACUGCUGCAUGUAAAGAGCACAUAAGCUUUAAAAACUAACAUGUUCUACAUAUUAUGUAAGCUUAUAAUCGAAGAUAAACAUUCCAACAGUAUGACACUGACAGCAUCUCCCUGCUUUGAUAAAUGGUAUCUUCGUUAAUCAGCUAAGUGAAGGACUUAUUUGAAGGAAAAACGUACUCAUGCAUGAUCGAAGAAGCGAAAGCUUACUAUUCAUGAUCUGCCCGUGGUUGGGAUAUUAUCAUGGGCCUACAAAACUUUGUCUUCGUUGACGCCGAGUCCAAGCUGAAUGAUAGGGAUGUUCAAGCUGAGAAAACCCUCUGAAUGCAGUCACUCGAAGAAGGUGCAUAUAAGAGACAGAACAAAGUAUGACACAUGAUAGUGCCUUUAGAAACAAAAGGAAUGUUGAAAAAUUAAUUAAUUAACAUUAAUGGAAAAACAAUGAUUUCUGGGAUUUCAAUGGGUUCACUGCAUUUUAUUUGUUGUUGGCUGGCUUUGGCGCUUCAUUUUUUCNGUUUUUUGGCAGCAGGUGCACGUUUUUGUGUUUUUUUGCUGGUUGGUUUCUUGUUUGCUGAAAAUGUAACAAAAUCAGUAUCAGGUACAUUACAUGACUUGUAUAUUUUACACAAUAGUAAGCUUAUGUGACUUUGUAGAGUGCCUCACAGACACUCUUUUUUUAGAUUUUUGUCUCAAAUAAUCAAAAGCCCUUUUCAUCGAGUAAAACUAACAUGUCGUUGAUUUUCUUUUCUUUGUUGUCUCAGUGCUGUUUAGAUCUGGUUGUGGCUGGGCAUCUUCUGCAACAUAAAAUAUUAUAUGAGAACUCAUGUUUUUAUUUUCCUGUUCAGCCUCACAUGUAAUUUACAAANAUAUUUUCUAAAUUGCUAGAAUGGAUCCUUAUNAUAAGGCUACAAUGUCAGAUUAGAUAAUAUUUUCAAAAAGUACUUUUUGUUCGAGGAACUGCUUUAACAGUCAUUUGUUUUCUGAUAUUCCUCUUUUCAAUUGCCUCACUCCUGGGUUGCUUUUCAAACACUGAAUUCAUUGGUUCAGGAGUCAUAUCUUGAAGUUCCUGGGCAGCUGCUAUCAGUUUGUUUUCCUUUAGUGCAUUGAGGCAUGUCUCAUACAUCACAUUAAUGUAACCUAAGAAAUACACAGUAAAAAUACAGUGAAAAUACAUNACAAUUCUUUCANUGAAAAGCAAAGUAAAUGAAUUACCAAAAUUUUGCUGUACUUUUACACUUUUCAAGGUAGCCUCCCCAUCCUUGAACUUAGGAUAUACAACCUUUANUUUUUCAGUGCCAUCAGCAUUCUCUUUGACUUCACGAUGUAGGUUAUAAUUGAAAUGAGCUGCAGCUAUGAUGUGCCUGUAUGAUUGAUUGUUAAUAAAUUUAAAAGAGAACUGAU